rnacentral:misc_RNA from 1 species
GAUGAAGAACGCAGCGAAAUGCGAUAAGUAAUGCGAAUUGCAGAAUCCGUGAGUCAUCGAAUCUUUGAACGCACAUUGCGCCCGCUAGUAUUCUGGCGGGCAUGCCUGUCCGAGCGUCAUUUCAACCCUCAAGCCCCCGGGCUUGGUGUUGGGGAUCGGCGAGCCUCCGCGCCCGCCGUCCCCUAAAUCUAGUGGCGGUCUCGCUGUAGCUUCCUCUGCGUAGUAGCACACCUCGCACUGGGAAACAGCGCGGCCACGCCGUUAAACCCCCAACUUCUGAACGUUUGACCUCGGAUCAGGUAGGAAUACCCGCUGAACUUAAGCAUAUCAAUAAGCGGAGGA